rnacentral:RNase_P_RNA from 1 species
GAGGAAAGUCCGGGCAGCAUAGGAUAUGACAGUCGCUAACGGCGACCGGGGGUGACCCUAGGGAAAGUGCCACAGAAACGAUACCGCCUUCUCCGGGAGGUAAGGGUGAAAGGAGUGGGGUAAGAGCCCACAGCGACGCACGGUGACGUGCGAAGGAGGUAAACCCUGUCAGCUGCAAGGAGAUCUGCAAAAAGGGCGGUCCGUCCGCAGGUCGUUAUCCGCUUGAUUCGGCAGGCAACUGCCGGGMUAGAUANAUGAUCGUCCASSACAGAACCCGGSUNUAUGAAUUMCAACAGAACCCGGCUUA